GUGUUUAGCUUAGUGGCCUGAGCACCUGUCUGGUAAGCACGAGGUCAUGAGUUCGAUCCUUGUUAACACA
rnacentral:tRNA from 1 species